UACGGAGGGGGCUAGCGUUGUUCGGAAUUACUGGGCGUAAAGGGCGCGUAGGCGGUGCGAUCAGUCAGGCGUGAAAGGCCCGGGCUCAACCCGGGGACUGCGCUUGAUACUGUUGCGCUGUGAGUCCGGGAGAGGAUGGCGGAAUUCCCAGUGUAGAGGUGAGAUUCGUAGAUAUUGGGAAGAACACCGGUGGCGAAGGCGGCCAUCUGGACCGGCACUGACGCUGAGGCGCGAAAGCGUGGGGAGCAAACAGG
rnacentral:rRNA from 1 species